AAUCCAUGAGUUGGCGAUUGAGCUAAAUAAUACUUGAAAUGCUCCCACGCUGAAUAUAAUUGUUCCGCUGGAAGUUGCUUGAACUCGAAUAUCUUAUCUCUAAGCUU